rnacentral:rRNA from 1 species
UACGUAGGCAGCAAGCGUUGUUCGGAGUUACUGGGCGUAAAGAGUGCGUAGGCGGUCCUGUAAGUUUGGUGUGAAAUCUCCCGGCUCAACUGGGAGGGUGCGCCGAAGACUGCAGGGCUUGAGUAUGGGAGAGGUAAGCGGAAUUCCUGGUGUAGCGGUGAAAUGCGUAGAUAUCAGGAGGAACACCGGUGGCGAAGGCGGGUCUCUGGGCAGUAACUGACGCUGGAGGAGCGAAAAGCGUGGGGAGCGAACAGG